GGGGAAUAUUGCACAAUGGACGAAAGUCUGAUGCAGCAACGCCGCGUGGAGGAUGACACAUUUCGGUGCGUAAACUCCUUUUAUAUAGGAAGAUAAUGACGGUACUAUAUGAAUAAGCACCGGCUAACUCCGUGCCAGCAGCCGCGGUAAUACGGAGGGUGCAAGCGUUACUCGGAAUCACUGGGCGUAAAGAGCGUGUAGGCGGGUAUAUAAGUCAGAAGUGAAAUCCAAUAGCUUAACUAUUGAACUGCUUUUGAAACUGUAUACAUAGAAUGUGGGAGAGGUAGAUGGAAUUUCUGGUGUAGGGGUAAGAUCCGUAGAGAUCAGAAGGAAUACCGAUUGCGAAGGCGAUCCACUGGAACAUGAUUGACGCUGAGACGCGAAAGCGUGGGGAGCAAAC
rnacentral:rRNA from 1 species